UUCAGUUUUUGGCUUGAUUAUGCACUGCCGAUGUUAUCCUACUUGAAAUAAAGAUUCUUUAAGGUCAACAAUGCUUCAAAGUUCUUUUGAAGAGUUUCAUCUGUCGGAACCAUGACAAUAGAUAGCACAAUCAUCUCCAGAUCUUUCUCCUUUAACCUCUCUAUUGGAAGGUUGCAUUCACCGGAUGCGCUGAACCAUAAACUAGACAGUCACAUUUUUUAGGCUGAUGUGUGACCUCAGCCCAUAUCUGCAAUUCAAUGUUCUGUAAACCUAGAAAUUUGACCUGACUGACUAAACCACAUUUAAGUCAUCUAUGGAUUAAACAUAUCAUAUCAACACAGCCUAACACUUGAACUGAGUUCCCACCUAGAUACAAAGCACUAUCUACUGUCCUGGCUGUUUCAGGGGGGAAAAACCAAUAUUCCAAUCUCUGUAGCAGCUGUAUAAACACUGAUUUUUGCUACAGGAGUCAAAUAAACAAUCCAGCACAUUGUGAUGCUCUGUUUUUUAGCUGAGGGCUGCCUGGGGUGUACAUGGAGCUACGGAGCGAGGGAGAUGCCACCUCUACAUGGUUUCUGCUGCUUCUGCCUGAAAACUACUCACCGCAAUUUGGCAUGGGCAAAAGCAUUAGCAGUGGGAUUUUUUUAAAAAACAACACCUUGCAACUUGGCACCCUGCAAAAUUUGGAAGGCAGAAAUCCAGUAACUGCAGGGAAGGCUCUGGAGGACUUGAGGGCAAGGCGAACCCGUUGGGCCCUGAUUUCAGAGGGGAAAAAACAACUUUGUUCCAAUGACACCGCUGAGCCUAACAAAAAUUUAUCAUGGUGACCAACUCAGCCAUUUUUUUUUAAAGUGGGUGCUUCUUAUUCCCGCUCAGAAAACAAGUACUUCAGCAAAUACUAGUCUGAUCUAGUCAUAUCCUCCUAACAGGAAACAACCUACAAGUUGAGGACUCUACUAGCACAUUCAUUCUGGAAAUGGAAUAGGAUUUCAUCAUCUUUUUGGCUUCCUGGAUUUUUUUUUUAAA